UGGCUCAGAUUGAACGCUGGCGGCAGGCCUAACACAUGCAAGUCGAGCGGAAACGACACUAACAAUCCUUCGGGUGCGUUAAUGGGCGUCGAGCGGCGGACGGGUGAGUAAUGCCUAGGAAAUUGCCUUGAUGUGGGGGAUAACCAUUGGAAACGAUGGCUAAUACCGCAUAAUGCCUACGGGCCAAAGAGGGGGAUCUUCGGACCUCUCGCGUCAAGAUAUGCCUAGGUGGGAUUAGCUAGUUGGUGAGGUAAUGGCUCACCAAGGCGACGAUCCCUAGCUGGUCUGAGAGGAUGAUCAGCCACACUGGAACUGAGACACGGUCCAGACUCCUACGGGAGGCAGCAGUGGGGAAUAUUGCACAAUGGGCGAAAGCCUGAUGCAGCCAUGCCGCGUGUAUGAAGAAGGCCUUCGGGUUGUAAAGUACUUUCAGUUGUGAGGAAGGGUGUGUAGUUAAUAGCUGCACAUCUUGACGUUAGCAACAGAAGAAGCACCGGCUAACUCCGUGCCAGCAGCCGCGGUAAUACGGAGGGUGCGAGCGUUAAUCGGAAUUACUGGGCGUAAAGCGCAUGCAGGUGGUUCAUUAAGUCAGAUGUGAAAGCCCGGGGCUCAACCUCGGAACUGCAUUUGAAACUGGUGAACUAGAGUGCUGUAGAGGGGGGUAGAAUUUCAGGUGUAG
rnacentral:rRNA from 1 species